rnacentral:rRNA from 1 species
UGACACCCUCCGAAUGCGACCCCAGGUCAGGCUGAGUUU